GACGAACGCUGGCGGCGUGCCUAAUACAUGCAAGUAGAACGCUGAAGCUUGGUGCUUGCACCGAGCGGAUGAGUUGCGAACGGGUGAGUAACGCGUAGGUAACCUGCCUGGUAGCGGGGGAUAACUAUUGGAAACGAUAGCUAAUACCGCAUAACAGUAGAUGUCGCAUGACAUUUGCUUAAAAGGUGCAAUUGCAUCACUACCAGAUGGACCUGCGUUGUAUUAGCUAGUUGGUGAGGUAACGGCUCACCAAGGCGACGAUACAUAGCCGACCUGAGAGGGUGAUCGGCCACACUGGGACUGAGACACGGCCCAGACUCCUACGGGAGGCAGCAGUAGGGAAUCUUCGGCAAUGGACGGAAGUCUGACCGAGCAACGCCGCGUGAGUGAAGAAGGUUUUCGGAUCGUAAAGCUCUGUUGUAAGAGAAGAACGAGUGUGAGAGUGGAAAGUUCACACUGUGACG
rnacentral:rRNA from 1 species